CCUACGGGUGGCUGCAGUGGGGAAUUUUCGGCAAUGGGCGAAAGCCUGACCGAGCAAUGCCGCGUGAAGGAUGAAGGCCCUUUGGGUUGUAAACUUCUGUGGAAAAUAACUAAAAAAAUGAAGUGUUUUCUAGAAAGAGGUUGCUAACUCUGUGCCAGCAGCAGCGGUAAUACAGAGACCUCAAGCGUUAUCCGGUAUUAUUGGGCGUAAAGAGUUCCGAUCGGUUGUUAUAUUUGUCUAAUAUUAAAGACCAAAGCUCAACUUUGUGUAUGUAUUAGAAACGGUAUAACUAGAAGAGUAAAGGGGUGGCUGGAACUCUACAAGUAGCGGUGAAAUGUGUUGAUAUGUAGGGGAACACCAAAAGCGAAGGCAGGCCACUAGGUACUUCUUGACACUGCUAGGACGAAAGCGUGGGGAGAGAAUGGGAUUAGAUACCCAAGUAGUC
rnacentral:rRNA from 1 species